UAGGGAAUCUUCCACAAUGGACGCAAGUCUGAUGGAGCAACGCCGCGUGAGUGAAGAAGGUUUUCGGAUCGUAAAGCUCUGUUGUUGGUGAAGAAGGCUAGAGGUAGUAACUGGCCUUUAUUUGACGGUAAUCAACCAGAAAGUCACGGCUAACUACGUGCCAGCAGCCGCGGUAAUACGUAGGUGGCAAGCGUUGUCCGGAUUUAUUUGGCGUAAAGCGAGCGCAGGCGGAAGAAUAAGUCUGAUGUGAAAGCCCUCUGCUUAACCGAGGAACUGCAUCCUAAAAUGUUUUUCUUGCGUGCAGAAGAGGAGAGAGGAAUUCCCUGUGUGUCGAGCGAAUCCGUAGAUAUAUGUAAGAACACCAGUGGCGAAGGCGACUCUCUGGUCUGCAACUGACGCUGAGGCUCGAAAGCAUGGGUAGCGAACAGA
rnacentral:rRNA from 1 species